UACGUAGGGUGCAAGCGUUGUCCGGAAUUAUUGGGCGUAAAGAGCUUGUAGGCGGUCUGUCGCGUCUGCUGUGAAAAUCCGGGGCUCAACCCCGGACUUGCAGUGGGUACGGGCAGACUAGAGUGUGGUAGGGGAGACUGGAAUUCCUGGUGUAGCGGUGAAAUGCGCAGAUAUCAAGAGGAACACCUGAGGCGAAGGCGGGUUGCUAGGCUGACACUGACGCUGAAGCGCGAAAGCUAGGGUAGCAAACGGG
rnacentral:rRNA from 1 species